GUGCCAGCCGCUGCGGUAAUACGUAGGGUGCGAGCGUUGUCCGGAAUUAUUGGGCGUAAAGAGCUCGUAGGCGGCCUGUCACGUCGGAUGUGAAAGCCCGGGGCUUAACCCCGGGUCUGCAUUCGAUACGGGCAGGCUAGAGUUCGGUAGGGGAGAUCGGAAUUCCUGGUGUAGCGGUGAAAUGCGCAGAUAUCAGGAGGAACACCGGUGGCGAAGGCGGAUCCUCGUGGCCGAUACUGACGCUGGAGGAGACGAAAGCGGU
rnacentral:rRNA from 1 species